GGGGUGCAACUAAGUACAGGGCAAGGACAUUCGUCCCAAUUGGCCCAGAGAUGGAUACUGUCAGGAAAUGACACCAAGUAGGGAAAUCCGAAGCAAUGAAUUGCUCGCUGCUUAUGGACGCAUCAAGUAAUGUUUCAGCGCCUUAUGACCUAUCAUUGAUAGAUGUGGACAUUUCAAAUUAUCCGUCUAAGGUACCUGCAGCCAAUUCUGGGACAAGGUGACAAUGACGUUGGAUUUUCAUUCAUGUGUCAAUUUUUCUUUUUUUCUUUAGUUUUUGUUGGGAAUUAGAUGUGCACUAGCGUCUAACGUGAUCCAGAUUGUGUUGCUAUGGAGCUCAGAGUUGUAACUUAGUUUGUAAAUGUAGGCAAAGCUAGUUUUCAGCCAUUUCUUUUUGAUUGUUUGAUCCUAUUUCCA